AUUAUCCUGAGAUAACUCAGAAACAGAAAGUCAAAUACUGCAUGUUCUCACUUAUAAGUGGAAGCUAAGUAAUGGGUGCACAUGGAUAUACAGAGUGAAAUAAUACACAUUGGAGACUACAAAAAGGUGCACAGCUGGAUGGCUUCUGUUCUAGAGGCAGCCUAAGGUCCUGGAAUUUCAACAAAGUAUACUUCAAGCAAGAAGCAUUGGAUUCAAAGUGGAAUCUAGAAAGACUUCCAACCAGGUGGUGUUCCCAGAUGGAACAAUGCUUUAUUAGCAUCAUUAACAAAAAUACCAUGAUUGAAAAGAAUAAUUAGCUGUUUGACACUCUUCCGGAUAUUGUUUUUGUCACUUAACAACAUAACUUGGUGAUCCUCCCAGAGCAGAAAAGCUCUCCCAGAUAUGUUUCAGGGCAGCGUAACCUUCCUUGUUCUUCCUUCACUGAGCAUGUUAUAUGUGGAAAGAACACAUCCUCACUUGGGGAAACCAGAUAAAUUGUUUAAAUUAUUGCAAAUGUGAAUGAUUUUAAUGUAGAAAUAACCUUUUUCAUUCCACAUUAAUCACAAAUACUGUUCACAACCCUUCGUAAUAAACUUGUCUCUGC
rnacentral:lncRNA from 1 species